ACGGGAGACACGCAUUCUUGUUCAGCUGAACAAGGGAAUCCGGUGCAAAACCGGAACACGGCGGGCAGACCCGUCGUGCUGUAAGCACGGAGCCGACUUCCUUUCCGCGAAAGCGGGUCAUUGGGGAAACCUGAGAAGGCGGGAAGCGGCGUGGACGAUUUCGUCCGAACGUGUUAGUCAGAAGACCUACAAACUGUGCGUUUGAAAA
rfam:Firmicutes bacterium CAG:110 genomic scaffold, scf350